rnacentral:rRNA from 1 species
CAGCCGCCGCGGGAAUACGUAGGUGACAAGCGUUGUCCGGAAUUAUUGGGCGUAAAGGGCGCGUAGGCGGUUUGGCAAGUUUCGUGUGAAAUCUUCGGGCUCAACUCGAAGUCUGCACGGAAAACUGCCGGGCUUGAGUAUGGGAGAGGUGAGUGGAAUUUCUGGUGUAGCGGUGAGAUGCGUAGAUAUCGGAAGGAACACCUGUGGCGGAAGCGGCUCACUGGACCAUUACUGACGCUGAGGCGCGAAAGCUAGGGGAGCAAACAGGAUUAGAUACCCCCGUAGUCCCUGUCUCUUAUAC